UACGUAGGGGGCAAGCGUUGUCCGGAUUUAUUGGGCGUAAAGAGCGUGUAGGCGGCUUGGUAGGUCCGUUGUGAAAACUCGAGGCUCAACCUCGAGACGCCGAUGGAAACCCUCCAGCUAGAGUCCGGAAGAGGAGAGUGGAAUUCCUGGUGUAGCGGUGAAAUGCGCAGAUAUCAGGAGGAACACCUAUUGCGAAGGCAGCUCGCUGGGACGUAACUGACGCUGAGACGCGAAAGCGUGGGGAGCAAACAGG
rnacentral:rRNA from 1 species